rnacentral:rRNA from 1 species
GGUAAUGACGGCCGCGGGGCCGGGGGAAUACGGGGGGGGCAAGCGGUGUGCGGAAGCAGUGGGCGUAAAGCGCGGGUAGGCGGCCCGGGAAGUCCGCGGUGAAAGUCCAGGGCUCAACCCUGGGAUGCCGGUGGAUACUGUCGGGCUCGAGUCCGGAAGAGGCGAGUGGAAUUCCUGGUGUAGCGGUGAAAUGCGCAGAUAUCAGGAGGAACACCAAUGGCGAAGGCAGCUCGCUGGGACGUGACUGACGCUGAGACGCGAAAGCGUGGGGAGCAAACAGGAUUAGAUACCCGGGUAGUC